rnacentral:rRNA from 1 species
GUGGGGAAUUUUGGACAAUGGGCGCAAGCCUGAUCCAGCAAUGCCGCGUGCAGGAAGAAGGCCUUCGGGUUGUAAACUGCUUUUGUACGGAACGAAACGGUCCUGGCUAAUAUCCGGGGCUAAUGACGGUACCGUAAGAAUAAGCACCGGCUAACUACGUGCCAGCAGCCGCGGUAAUACGUAGGGUGCGAGCGUUAAUCGGAAUUACUGGGCGUAAAGCGUGCGCAGGCGGUGCUGUAAGACAGGCGUGAAAUCCCCGGGCUCAACCUGGGAAUUGCGCUUGUGACUGCAGUGCUGGAGUACGGCAGAGGGGGAUGGAAUUCCGCGUGUAGCAGUGAAAUGCGUAGAUAUGCGGAGGAACACCGAUGGCGAAGGCAGUCCCCUGGGCCUGUACUGACGCUCAUGCACGAAAGCGUGGGGAGCAAACAGGAUUAGAAACCCUAGUAGUCC